AGUAUUCAUCAUAUUCAAAUGAGGCAGCAGAAUAAAUGAUGGCGGGCCGGGUAGGAACAAAACCGAGGCGUGUUCCCGCACAAUCGGAAGGCGACUGGCGCCUUGUCAACCAGACGCAGGGUGGUGGCGGGAGCCGAACCCGUUUGUCUCUGUACCACCAGUGAGGGCCAGGCUGACCCUGCAGGUGCCGUCCGUUAAUUCCUGUCACCCCCCGCGCCUCCGGUCUGCAGGGUCUGGAAACCAGGCGCCAAUUUCGUAAUAAAGACUUGUUUGCGCCGAGGCCGGUUUGGGGCGGGGGCACAGAUCUUCAUUAGAGCCCCUUUCCCGGGCCACGCUCGUUACAGAGCACAGGUACUGGCUAAAUGUGUCCGAUCAUUCAUCAUGAUUUCGCCCUCCACUUUGUCACAGCGUGGGGAUUUAAGGAAGAUAGAUGGUACAAGAUGUUGUCUCCUCCGCAGACGCUUUCUGCUCUGAAAGUUCCACGCUGCUGACCUGGUUCCCACAGGCCUCGUGGGCCCUGUCCCCAGAUGUCUCUGGCCCUGGGCUUUCUUGCUGGCAUCCAGACGGGAUCUGCAGUUCCUCAUCUGUGAAGUGGGCAUGGUCACAGCACCUACUAUGACAAUCUGCAUGUCCCAAAGACAUCAGCCACAGAUCAUAUCCCAUCCUGCACGCUCUCCUCACUGACAUCCUCCCCUGGGACGGUGGGGACGGCGUUUCUUCCUCUGGAACUGGGGUGGACUUUGGUCGCUGCCCUGACAGUUCGAGUCUUAAGGUGAGGUUACCCGUCUGCCAUGGGCUUUAGCCUGGCUCUCUUGGACGCCCAGCCCUGGAGUCCAGCAGCCAUCUGGGCAGAGGCCAGGCAGCCACGUGGAGAGGAUAUCACAGGUGUUCUGCCCACCACCAAAGUGAGCCAUCCUGAAAGCCCUCUACUCCAGUGGACACUGGGUGAGGAAAUGAGUGGACUCCGCCAAGUCCUAGAGUGGACUACAGCAGGAGUGAGCCACUAAAUUUGGGGGCAGGUUGUUACUCAGCAAGAGAUGACUGAAACAUCCUGUCGGGUCACUGUGGGGGAAAGUAAAUAUCUCCAUUUGCUAGGACGGCCCGCACAAAGUUCCACACACUGAGCGGCUUGGACAACAGAAACGAAUGUCCCCUUUAUCCUGGAGGCUGAAGGUCUAGAUCAAGAUGGCAGGUCUGAUCUCUUCUGAGACCUCUUUCCCUGGCUCCCCAUCUCUACUGCUGGGGUCCUACCCCUCUUGUCUGGGGCUCUGUUUGGCAAUUGUUCUAAUCUGUAUGGCAGAAGCUCCAGCUUUUCUGAGCCGAGCCUCUGACUUGUUUUGCCAUCUAGAAAUAGGGAUUUUCUUUUUCUGACUGUAAAAAAAUAAUUUGUGUUUAGUUUACAAAAUGCAGAUAGUAUGGAAAGGUUUGAAGAAGAGAGCAACAAUCACCUAAAAUGAAUGACUUGAACCUUCUGGUUUAUUUCUGAGUUUCUUCGUGUGUGUGUGUGUGUGUGUGUGUGUGUGUGUGUGUUCCUUGAUUCUAGGACAAAACUGAUUAUUGGAGGCAUCAUUGAUUUAAUUACACAGCUCUUAGGGGGAAAGGAACUGCUGCACUGAACAUAUAUAUUAGCUGGAAAACACAUCCUGAUUUCAGAAAUGUUAAAAUGGGAAAAAUAUGUACAGCUAAGAAUUGAGAAAAUAUGUCACGCACAAACAUCAGCGUUUUUUUAAAGAUGAGAAUCUCAGUGAAUAGGUGGGAGAUUUGUUCUCUAUUGUUUGUUUUGUAAGAGUCAAGGUCUUGCUAUAUUGCCCAGGCUGCCCUUGAACUCCUGGGCUAAAUAAUCUUCCUCCUUCAGCUUCCUGAAUAGCUGGAACUACAGGCACCUGCAACUGUAUCCAGCUCAUAAAUACUGUUUUAUGGUCUAUUUUUAAAAAAAUAUGAAUA